rnacentral:rRNA from 1 species
UUGAACGCUGGCGGCAGGCCUAACACAUGCAAGUCGAGCGGAUGAAGGGAGCUUGCUCCUGGAUUCAGCGGCGGACGGGUGAGUAAUGCCUAGGAAUCUGCCUGGUAGUGGGGGAUAACGUCCGGAAACGGGCGCUAAUACCGCAUACGUCCUGAGGGAGAAAGUGGGGGAUCUUCGGACCUCACGCUAUCAGAUGAGCCUAGGUCGGAUUAGCUAGUUGGUGGGGUAAAGGCCUACCAAGGCGACGAUCCGUAACUGGUCUGAGAGGAUGAUCAGUCACACUGGAACUGAGACACGGUCCAGACUCCUACGGGGGGCAGCAGUGGGGAAUAUUGGACAAUGGGCGAAAGCCUGAUCCAGCCAUGCCGCGUGUGUGAAGAAGGUCUUCGGAUUGUAAAGCACUUUAAGUUGGGAGGAAGGGCAGUAAGUUAAUACCUUGCUGUUUUGACGUUACCAACAGAAUAAGCACCGGCUAACUUCGUG